AUUGAACGCUGGCGGCAGGCCUAACACAUGCAAGUCGAACGAGUGGCGGACGGGUGAGUAAUGUCUGGGAAACUGCCUGAUGGAGGGGGAUAACUACUGGAAACGGUAGCUAAUACCGCAUACCAUCAGAUGUGCCCAGAUGGGAUUAGCUUGUUGGUGGGGUAACGGCUCACCAAGGCGACGAUCCCUAGCUGGUCUGAGAGGAUGACCAGCCACACUGGAACUGAGACACGGUCCAGAUGCCUACGGGAGGGAGCAGUGGGGAAUAUUGCACAAUGGGCGCAAGCCUGAUGCAGCCAUGCCGCGUGUAUGAAGAAGGCCUUCGGGUUGUAAACCUCUUUCGCUAUCGAACGGGUAGGUGGAGAAGAAGCACCGGCUAACUCCGUGCCAGCCGCCGCGGUAAUAC
rnacentral:rRNA from 1 species